rnacentral:sRNA from 1 species
GCUGGGUGCAGUGGCGCACGCCUGUCAUCCCAGCAGCUGGGGAGCCUGAGGCAGGAGGAUCCCAAGUUGGAGGCCAGCCUCAGCAACUCAGCGAGGCCCUAAGUAACUCCGGGACACCCUGUCUCUA